rnacentral:misc_RNA from 1 species
CCUAGAGUUGUAGGCUUUGCCUGCUAUCUCUUACCCAUGUCUUUUGAGUACCUUACGUUUCCUCGGUGGGUUCGCCCACCGAUUGGACAAACUUAAACCCUUUGCAGUUGAAAUCAGCGUCUGAAAAAACUUAAUAGCUA